rnacentral:rRNA from 1 species
UACGUAGGGUGCGAGCGUUAAUCGGAAUUACUGGGCGUAAAGCGUGCGCAGGCGGUUCGUUGUGUCGGUGGUGAAAUCCCCGGGCUUAACCUGGGAAUGGCCAUGGAAACUGGCGAACUGGAGUGCGGCAGAGGGGGGUGGAAUUCCGCGUGUAGCAGUGAAAUGCGUAGAGAUGCGGAGGAACACCGAUGGCGAAGGCAGCCCCCGGGGCUAGCACUGACGCUCAGGCACGAAAGCGUGGGGAGCAAACAGG